rnacentral:misc_RNA from 1 species
CAUACUUCUUUCUUCAAUAUCCUGUGGGAAACUCGCACUGCCCGUACUUUGGUGCUUGUGUGACGACGAACGCUGCUCCUCCGAAAUAACAGGUACCAAUCUCCCGCCCUUUCUUCUGAUAAUAACUGUUAAAGGCGAAAGACGCGUGGGCCUGGACUGUGUUAGGAUCGUAACACGUGGCGCCUGGCUGGAUCGGACGGCAAUCAGCUCCUCCUUCACCACAAGCAUAAUCUAGUGCCGCCUGCAGCUUCUCUUUACCGGCCUCAGCAUUCGCCACGCACCACGUGUUUCCCGUAGUGCUCUUGGAUACGCCGCCGCUGACCGGAGUCGUCACCUGUUGACCACCGGAUACCGGUGACCGGCGGUCCCUAUAAUUCUUGAGGCCCUCCACAGUAAAAGGGAUAUCAUAAACCUUUUGCUCGUUGGGGUAAAAGAGGCCGUAAUUUCUCUCGGAUGUGGGCCCGUUCUUUUCGUCCUCGUUGAAGAGAGCAAAAAGAUAAACGGUGAGAUCUGCCUUGUCUCAGAGGGGUCCCACCACCUGUGAGGAUCCUACGGACAAGAUUGCCGUUGUAAGCAGCGGCGUUUUCUACGCUAGCACCUAUCUCAUUCCCAUCUCCCUUUGAGGGCCAUCCAGUCUCGGUCACAACCAUCCUGAUGUCGUCGUAUUUCAAAGCGGACAACGCUGCAAAAACGGCGUCGAUUUGAGCAUCAAAGAGGCUGAAGUACCGCAACCCAUUACCUGCAUCCACUACACCCGGGUUCUCUCUGAACAAAGCGUAGUCAAGAGAAAUGACAUCCGAGUUCGACUCGUAGGCAAAAAACGGGUACGCAUUGACCAUGAGAAAUGAACCGGUUUCCCGGAGGAAAUCCAACAUGGGCUUGAAAACGGGUUCAAUUAAUUCGGAUCGGAAUGCUCCGGCUGAGGACGGGUAAGAGGAUUGUAGAGCACUGAGUGCUAUUGGUGAAGAGACUUUAAUAGCGGAGUGAAGAUUAAGCUUCACUAGAGCUUGGUGGAUAUUUUUCAUGGCAGGUAAGAGGAACUUGGUAGUUUUGUGUGGAUCCACGAAGACUUCAUUACCCACGGCAAUGGCUUCGACUUGAGUGGAAGGGUAAUACGCGGCGACAUUUCUUUGGACCCAUGAGAAGGCAAAGGACUGAGUUUUGGCAGCGGAGUAGAGGAGCUCGUUAGGUAGGUCGACUGUGACCUUAAUCCCAGAUCCUGAUAACGCUCUGAGGACAGAAGAGUCAGUGUCGAAAACCUUGACCCUUUCCAGACCCUGAGACUUGAGGAGCUGCACCACUUUCACCGCAGAAGGUAGAUUAUCGGCGAUUCUUCCAUAGUUUACUCCGAUUGAGCCCGCAUCUGCAAAAGUGAAAAUGCAAAGAAAUGAGAGAAUGUAGAAGCUGAAACUACGCUCCAUGCUCUGGUUCCCGGAGAAACAGAGCAAGAGAGAAGGAGAGAGAAAGUGGUGUGUUUGGGCUGUGGUUUCUGAGUUGGUGCAGUAAGGGUGAGUGGAGCAGCAGC